UACGUAGGGUGCGCGCGUUAAUCGGAAUUACUGGGCGUAAAGCGUGCGCAGGCGGCUUCGCAAGUCAGACGUGAAAUCCCCGGGCUUAACCUGGGAAUGGCGUUUGAAACUACGGAGCUGGAGUAUGGCAGAGGGGGGUGGAAUUCCACGUGUAGCGGUGAAAUGCGUAGAUAUGUGGAGGAACACCGAUGGCGAAGGCAGCCCCCUGGGCCAAUACUGACGCUCAUGCACGAAAGCGUGGGGAGCAAACAGG
rnacentral:rRNA from 1 species